rnacentral:rRNA from 1 species
UCAAGCUACAAAGAGCACAAGGGGAAUGCCUUGGCACCGAGAGCCGAAGAAGGACGUGACUAACUGCGAUAAGCUGCGGGGAGCCGUAAGUAGGCUUUGAUCCGCAGAUUUCCGAAUGGAGCAAUCCGGCAAGAGGAAAGUCUUGUCAUCAUAUACUGAAUACAUAGGUAUAUGAGGGGAACCGCCUGAACUGAAACAUCUAAGUAGGGUGAGGAAGAGAAAUCAACUGAGAUUCCGUAAGUAGUGGCGAGCGAACGCGGAAGAGGCCAAACCGAGAGUAGUAAUACUUUCGGGGUUCGGACAGAAAACGGUAUUGUAAAGGUUUAGUGGAAUGGAAUGGGAAGUCCAACCGAAGAAGGUGAGAGUCCUGUACACGAAAAGCCUGAACAGCCAUCUGUAUCCAGAGUACCGCCGGACACGUGAAACCCGGUGGGAAUAUGGGGGGACCAUCCUCCAAGCCUAAAUACUACUCGGUGACCGAUAGUGAAGAAGUACUGUGAAGGAAAGGUGAAAAGUACCCCUGACGGGGAGUGAAAAAGAACCUGAAACCUUGUGUUUACAAGCACCGAAAGCUCAUCAAAGAGCGAUCGGGUACCUUUUGUAGAAUGGUCCGGCGAGUGAAUGUAACCGGCGAGGUUAAGCACUUAAGGUGUGAAGCCGCAGCGAGAGCAAGUCUGAAUAGGGCGUAUGAAGUCGGUUGUAUUCGACCCGAAACCGGGUGACCUACCCAUGGUCAGGUUGAAGUAAAGGUAAAACUUUAUGGAGGACCGAACCGACUCCCGUUGAAAUGGUAGCGGAUGAACUGUGGGUAGCGGAGAAAUUCCAAUCGAACCCGGAGAUAGCUGGUUCUCCCCGAAAUAGCUUUAGGGCUAGCCUUGAAAUAGAUUACCGGAGGUAAAGCACUGAAUUGGCUAGGGGCCGAGAGGUUACUGAACCUUAUCAAACUAAGAAUGCCGGAUAAUCGUUUUUCAGGAGUCAGACAGUGGGAGAUAAGUUUCAUUGUCAAAAGGGAAACAGCCCAGACCCACAGCUAAGGUCCCCAAGUAUAGUUAAGUGGAAAAGGAUGUGGAAUUGCACAGACAACCAGGAUGUUGGCUUAGAAGCAGCCACUCAUUAAAAGAGUGCGUAAUAGCUCACUGGUCGAGUGACUCUGCGCCGAAAAUUUAACGGGGCUAAACUAUACACCGAAGCUUGGGAUACAUCUAAUGUAUGGUAGGAGAGCGUUCUGUAUGGGGAGAAGUCGUAGCGAAAGCGGCGGUGGACUAUACAGAAGUGAGAAUGCCGGAAUAAGUAGCGAGAAUUAAGUGAGAAUCUUAAUGGCCGAAAGUCUAAGGUUUUUGGAGGAAGGUUCGUCCGCUCCAAGUAAGUCGGGAGCUAAGGUCAGGCCGAAAGGCGUAGCCGAUGCACAUACGGUUGAUAUUCCGUAACCAUCUGUAAUUUAAGCAAAGGGACACUUCAAAAGGGUGUGACCCGGGCGUUGGUUGACCCGGGCGUAAGGGACCGAAAUUAGAGUAGGGAAGCACACUUGGCUGAAGGCGAGAAAAGCUUUGCGUAUAGAAGCAGAUGCCCGUACCGCAAACCGACACAGGUGGACAGGAAGAGAAUUCUAAGGCCAGCGGGAGAAGGGUAGUUAAGGAACUCGGCAAAUUGACUCCGUAACUUCGGAAUAAGGAGUGCUCGAAAGAGCCGCAGAGAAUAGGCCCAGGCGACUGUUUAGCAAAAACACAGGUCUCUGCCAAAUCGAAAGAUGAAGUAUAGGGGCUGACACCUGCCCGGUGCCGGAAGGUUAAGAGGAGGAGUGAGAGCUCCGAAUUGAAGCCCCGGUAAACGGCGGCCGUAACUAUAACGGUCCUAAGGUAGCGAAAUUCCUUGUCGGGU